rnacentral:rRNA from 1 species
UACGGAGGAUCCAAGCGUUAUCCGGAUUUAUUGGGUUUAAAGGGUGCGUAGGCGGCCUAUUAAGUCAGGGGUGAAAGACGGUAGCUUAACUAUCGCAGUGCCUUUGAUACUGAUGGGCUUGAAUGUACUUGAGGUAGGCGGAAUGUGACAAGUAGCGGUGAAAUGCAUAGAUAUGUCACAGAACACCAAUUGCGAAGGCAGCUUACUAAGGUAUGAUUGACGCUGAGGCACGAAAGCGUGGGGAUCAAACAGG